AUACUUACCUGGCAGGGAGUACCAUGAUCAUGAAGGUGGUUCACCCAGGGGCGAGGCUCAGCCAUUGCACUUCGGUUGUGCUGACCCGUGUGAAUUCCCAAAUGUGGGAAUCUCGGCUGCAUAUUUAUGAGUGGGGGACUGCGUCUGCGCUCUCCCCGA